rnacentral:lncRNA from 1 species
AACUACAACUAUUCCUACAACCUUGCAUGAAGAAACUCUAGCUGUUCCCACAACCUUGGCUGAGAGAACUCCAACUAUUCCCACAACCUUGGGUGAGGAAACUGCGACUAUUCCCACCACCUUGGGCAAGGAAACUGAAAGUAUUCCCAAAACCUUGGGUGAGGAAACUUCAACUAAUUCCACAACCUUGGGUGAGGAAACUUCUACUAUUCCAACAACCUUGGCUGAGGAAAUUCCAACUAAUCCGACAACCGUGACUGAGGAAACUUCGACUAUUCCCACAACCUUGGGCGAGGAAACUGUGGCUAUUCCCACAACGUUGGGUUUGGAAGCUUCGACUGUUCUUACAACUACAGGUGAGGAACCAUCAACUGUUUCCACAACUAUGGGAAUGGAGACUUUGCCCCCUGCUGUGGCUGAAGGUGAGGAAUCUGCCACUUAAUAUCGUCACUGUCAAAAGUUACCUGG